ACUGCUCAGUAACACGUGGAUAACCUGCCCUAGGGGAGGGGAUAACCCCGGGAAACUGGGAUAAUACCCUAUGGGUUACAGAUGCUGGAAUGCCCUGUAACCAAAAGCUCCGGCGCCCUAGGAUGGAUCUGCGGCCGAUUAGGUUGUUGUUGGGGUAACGGCCCAACAAGCCCGUAAUCGGUACGGGUUGUGGGAGCAAGAGCCCGGAGUUGGAUUCUGAGACACGAAUCCAGGCCCUACGGGGCGCAGCAGGCGCGAAACCUUUACAAUGCGGGCAACCGUGAUAAGGGAACCUCGAGUGCCUGUAAACGCAGGCUGUUCAGGUGUUUAAAACGCACCUGGAGAAAGGGCCGGGCAAGACCGGUGCCAGCCGCCUCGGUAAUACCGGCGGCUUGAGUGGUGGCCGCUUUUAUUGGGCUUAAAGCGUUCGUAGCUGGGUUGUUAAGUCUCUUGGGAAAUCCGGCGGCUUAACCGUCAGGCGUCUAAGGGAUACUGGCAAUCUUGGAACCGGGAGAGGUGAGGGGUACUUCGGGAGUAGGGGUGAAAUCCUGUAAUCCUCGAGGGACCACCUGUGGCGAAGGCGCCUCACCAGAACGGCUUCGACAGUGAGGGACGAAAGCUGGGGGAGCAAACCGGAUUAGAUACCCUGGUAGUCCCAGCCGUAAACGAUGCGCGUUAGGUGUAUCGGUGACCACGAGUUACCGAGGUGCCGAAGGGAAUCCGUGAAACGCGCCGCCUGGGAAGUACGGUCGCAAGGCUGAAACUUAAAGGAAUUGGCGGGGGAGCAC
rnacentral:rRNA from 1 species